rnacentral:misc_RNA from 1 species
GAUGAAGAACGUAGCGAAAUGCGAUAAGUAAUGUGAAUUGCAGAAUUCAGUGAAUCAUCGAAUCUUUGAACGCACCUUGCGCUCCUUUGUAUUCCGAGGAGCAUGCCUGUUUGAGUGUCAUUAAUAUAUCAACCUUCUCUUUUUUGAGUUGUUUGGAUGUGGGGGUUUGCUGGCUUCUUAAAUGAUUCAGCUCCCCUGAAAUGCAUUAGCAGAACAACCUGUUCAUUAGCGUGAUAAUUAUCUAUGCUAUUGAAUGUGAGGGCAGUUCAGCUUUCUAACCGUCCUUGGACAAUUCAUCAUUAAUGUGACCUCAAAUCAGGUAGGACUACCCGCUGAACUUAAGCAUAUCAAUAAGCGGAGGA